GUUAGUUGAGGGCAGACGCUGCGGCGGCCGCCGCCAUCGCAGGAGCGGGCGGACCGGGAAGGGUCGCGCUGGAGGAGCCGCCGGCCGCGGCAGCCGCGGGGCCCUGCGGGGCUCCCGGGGACGCUCGGGCCGCGCCCCGCCGGUGCGGGAGCGGUGAUGGGCCCCGGGAGCGGCCCGCCCGCGCCCUUGGAGCCCGCCGCGCCCCGCCCCGCCGCCGGGCCCGCCCCUCUCCCGGCGUCCCCCGGCGGUGGCCAUGGCGGACGGCGGCGGGAGCGGCCGGGGGCCUCCGUGCCCCGGGGCGGCCGCGGCGCUGCGGCGCUGGGAGCAGCUGAGGCGGCGGGUGGCGGCGGCGGCGCCGUGGGCCCGCGGGCUCCUGGCUGUGGCCGCCGGGCUUGGCCUCUUCUACGUGGUGCUGCGGGUGCCGCUGCGGCUCCGGGACAGCCUGGCGGCCGUGACUGUGUUCUUAAGCACUUUGACUCCAAAAUUCUACUUUGCCCUUACAGUGACUUCAUCUUUUAUAUCUGGACUGAUAUUUGUGUUUGAGUGGUGGCAUUUCCGAAAGUACGGCACAUCUUUCAUCGAGCAGGUUUCUGUGAGUCAUCUGAGGCCCCUCAUCGGCGGGACAGAAAACAGCCCUCCAGCACCAGCAGCAUUCUCUGCUGGAGAGAGUGAGACGAGCAGGCAGAACAUGCCAGAGUGCAAAGUGUGGCGAAAUCCUCUCAAUCUUUUCAGAGGGGCAGAGUACAGCAGAUACAUGUGGGUGACUGGGAAGGAGCCUCUUACCUACUACGACAUGAAUUUGUCUGCUCAAGAUCAUCAGAACUUUUUCACGUGUGAUACAGACGCCCUUCGGCCUUCAGAUACAGUUAUGCAGAAAGCGUGGCGAGAGAGAAACCCUCAAGCUCGGAUUAAGGCAGCAUAUCAAGCUUUAGAGUUGAACAAUGAUUGUGCCACUGCAUAUGUCCUCCUGGCUGAGGAAGAAGCAACAACUAUUGUGGAUGCUGAGAAGUAUUUCAAGCAGGCUCUGAAAGCAGGAGAAAUGAUUUACAGGAAGUCUCAGAACUGCCAUUCCCAAAGUCCCCAGCAUGAAGCACAGCUGAGAAGAGACACCAAUGUAUUAGUAUAUGUGAAAAGGAGACUGGCUAUGUGUGCAAGAAAACUUGGAAGAAUACGAGAGGCAGUAAAAAUGAUGAGAGAUUUAAUGAAAGAGUUUCCACUUCUCAGCAUGCUCAAUAUUCAUGAAAACCUCCUGGAGGCACUGCUGGAGUUACAGGCUUAUGCAGAUGUCCAAGCAGUUUUAGCAAAGUAUGAUGAUAUCAGUCUUCCAAAGUCAGCAGCAAUAUGUUACACAGCAGCCCUGUUAAAAGCCAGGGCUGUUUCAGAAAGGUUCUCCCCAGAAACUGCCUCCAAAAGAGGGCUCAGUACAGCAGAAAUUAAUGCUGUGGAAGCAAUUCACAGAGCUGUGGAAUUUAACCCUCAUGUUCCAAAGUAUUUACUAGAAAUGAAAAGCUUGGUGCUACCUCCAGAGCAUAUUCUGAAGCGAGGGGACAGUGAGGCAGUAGCUUACGCUUUUUUUCACCUCCAGCAUUGGAAGAGGAUAGAAGGGGCUCUGAAUCUGCUACACUGCACAUGGGAAGGCACAUUUAGGAUGAUCCCAUACCCAUUAGAGAAAGGUCAUCUUUUCUAUCCCUAUCCCAGUUGCACAGAAACAGCAGACAGAGAACUGUUGCCAACAUUUCACGAAGUCUCCGUGUACCCACAGAAGGAGCUUCCCUUUUUCAUCCAUUUCACAGCAGGCCUGUGUUCCUUUUCGGCAAUGCUUGCCCUCCUCACGCACCAGUUCCCUGAGCUGAUGGUCAUUUUUGCUAAAGCUGUGCUGCGGGUGCUGUGGCCUGUGAGUGCUCCCAGCGUUCUGGCUUCCAGCUGAGUGGCCCGCACCAGGUGCUCUGGGAUGACUCUUUCACCCUUCAACUCCAUUAUGGAAAACAUCAAGGUCUUCCUGCUGUUCCAUCUCUGGCACCAGCUGACUCCAGUGUGACUGGAGGUGCUUUCCAUGAUGGCUCUCCUAAGCCUCACCCUGGGUGGUUAGCUGACCCCUAGAUGUGUGGGGCAAGGAAGAAAGCUGUGCUAUUCAGACUCCUACCUUUGACAGGCUUCCAUGUUGCACAGGCUGGUUUCUGAAACUGCCAAAAGUGGUUGUGAUAUCUGCAUGGGAGUCUUUUGGGAGACCUGAACUUUCAAGUGUUAGUCCAAAGUAUCGUCGUUGUUGAUAUCAAGACUUCAAGAGAAUAGAGAUGUGGAGCACUCUUCAAAGGAAUUGCUUCAUAUACGGACCAGCUACAAGGGUUUGUUUACUGCAGAGGUGAAAAGAUGGCUGUGGCAGCCAAGUGGUUUGAGGUAAUUGGUGUGACCCCCAUUAGAGAAAAUGUCUCCUUUCUCAUGUUCAGGUCCACUGCUUGGCAUUGAGGAGGCAGAGUCAUGUUAACCAAGGCUGCUUAAAGGUGGGAGUGAUAAAAAUAGCACAGGCUGGUGGAGAAAUGCUAAUUCUGAGCAUAGGAAAAGUUGGCCAUCAUCUUACAUUUUACAGAUAAACACAUAUACUUACCAUGAUAACUAGGGAAAUUUUACAUGUGUAAUCUUCACUGAUCUUGGUGAAGGAUUGAUGUAAGCCGUGACAUUGAUGGCUGCUUUCAAAGGCAGUAUAAAUUAUUCUAGUUUCUCAAUUUUGGAUGGAAGAAGCUUGCCGUAGCCUCUGUUCUCUGAAGUAACACCUAAAUCAAUCAAUGACAGGUCAGUUUGAGUUGACCUGAAAUCUGUCUUGAUGCAGAAGACUGGGAAUGAUUUUUUUUUUUGCCUUCUUUUUUCCCAAAUCCUUCUUUACCUUGUAAGCAAGGUGCUAUGAGGUAGAGAGUUGCAUACGCAUCUCAUGUAAGUGUAGCUUAUUUGUAACCCUGGCUGAGAGGAAACACACAUGUUUAGGUAGAAAUGCUGUUGUUACUCUCCACUGUAUGUAUGUAUUGACUGGGCUUUAAUCCAAGUGAAAUACUUGAAUUCAUUGAUGAGUCAAGAGGGGAGCCCUACACAAAGGUACUAUCACAUUUUUUGAGUUGCCUAACUACUAGCAGGUAAUUUUCUCAACUUUCUUUCCAGUUGAAUGUAUGUCAUUGGGGCUGUUUCUCACUGUGGAAUCAUUGUGGUGAUUAAUAGAUAUGUUGUGUUCAUGUAAUUUCACUUCUCGGUCCGCAGGGGCCCAUAAGGUAACCAACCUAAUGCUUUUUAAAGUUGAACAUUUUCCAGCAUUUGUGUGGGGUUAUAAAUGAAGCACUGCCUCCCAUGUAUCAUCCCAAGAGCUGCUUUCUUUCACUGUCCUCCCCUGACAUAACAGUAACAGAAAGGGGAUGGGCUUAUGCUGAAAGUAUAGCUGGCAACAGGCAGUGUAAUGAAAAUCUUCCUCUCUCUGCAAGUGCCAGUAAUUCUUGAGGAAGGAGGAGCUCUCUGUAUGAUUU